UACGGGGGGGGCAAGCGUUGUUCGGAAUUACUGGGCGUAAAGGGCCAGUAGGCGGCCAACUAAGUCCGACGUGAAAUCCCCAGGCUUAACCUGGGAACUGCGUCGGAUACUGGAUGGCUUGAAUUCGGGAGAGGGAUGCAGAAUUCCAGGUGUAGCGGUGAAAUGCGUAGAUAUCAGGAGGAACACCCAUGGCGAAGGCAGCUCUCUGGUCGACCUCUGACGCUGAGACGCGAAAGCGUGGGGAGCGAACGGG
rnacentral:rRNA from 1 species